rnacentral:tRNA from 1 species
GGGCGGAUAGCUCAGUGGUAGAGCGCGAAGCUUAUACCUUCGUGGUCGGAGGUUCGAGCCCUCCUCCGCCCACCA